rnacentral:rRNA from 1 species
UCAGAAGCAGCCACACAUUAAAAGAGUGCGUAAUAGCUCACUAGUCGAGAGGUCCUGCGCCGAAAAUGUCCGGGGCUAAAACACAACACCGAAGCUUAGGAAUUCUAAUGAAUUGGUAGAGGAGCAUUGAAGACGGAACGAAGCCAUACCGAAAGGAAUGGUGGACUGUCUUGAAGAGAGAAUGCCGGAAUGAGUAGCGAGAUUGAAGUGAGAAUCUUCAAGGCCGAAUAUCUAAGGUUUCCAGGGUAAAGCUGAUCUGCCCUGGGUAAGUCGGGGCCUAAGGCAAGGUCGAAAGACGUAGUCGAUGGAUAACAGGUUGAAAUUCCUGUACUGCAUCAAAUCAGAAAUGUGGGGACACAUGAGGGAAGCAUGAGCCGGAAAAGGAAAGUCCGGUACAAGCGCAGCAGAGGACAGAUAGGCAAAUCCGUCUGUCAACUCAAGGGCGCGAUGUGGAGCGAACCAAAGUAGCGAAGCAUGUGGAGCUUGUGUCGAGAAAAGCCGCUAUAGUGUUUGAUGUACCCGUACCGUAAACCGACACAGGUGGAUGAGGAGAGAAUCCUAAGGCCGGCGGGAGAAGCAUUGUUAAGGAACUCGGCAAAAUGACCCCGUAACUUCGGGAGAAGGGGUGCUCCAGAGAUGGAGCCGCAGAGAACUGGCCCAAGCAACUGUUUAGCAAAAACACAGGUCUAUGCAAAACCGAAAGGUGAGGUAUAUGGGCUGACGCCUGCCCGGUGCUGGAAGGUUAAGAGGAGAGGUUAGAGCAAUCGAAGCUUUGAAUUUAAGCCCCAGUAAACGGCGGCCGUAACUAUAACGGUCCUAAGGUAGCGAAAUUCCUUGUCGGGUAAGUUCCGACCCGCACGAAAGGCGUAAUGAUUUGGGCACUGUCUCGACAAUGCACCCGGUGAAAUUGAAAUACCAGUGAAGAUGCUGGUUACCUGCGCCAGGACGGAAAGACCCCAUGGAGCUUUACUCUAGCUUGAUACUGGGGUUCGGUAUUGCAUGUACAGGAUAGGUGGGAGACUGAGAAGAUGUGUCGCCAGAUGCAUCAGAGUCGAUGUUGGGAUACCACCCCUGCAGUACUGGGCUUCUAACCUGCAGCCGUGACCCGGCUGGGGGACAAUGUCUGGUGGGGAGUUUGACUGGGGCGGUCGCCUCCGAAAGAGUAUCGGAGGCGCUCAAAGGUUCCCUCAGAAUGGUUGGAAACCAUUCGAAGAGUGCAAAGGCAGAAGGGAGCUUGAC